AUUUUCAUGUGUUUUUUGUGUUUUACUUAAAAUGGCAAUUUGCCUCUGUCCUGGGAGAUAAUUGAAUUACUUCUCAAUUAUCUCCAGGGCAGAGGGGAGGAAACCGGGAUGCAUUAUGGGAAUAUUUUAUACCUGUAUGUCUUAAAGUGCCAUAUGUCUGUCUGUCAUUACAGUCUCCCAUUUGGUCCCCUAGGGGAGUAUCCACCAAGUGGGAGACCUGCAUACAUACGGGCGGGUAGCCCACAGUAAAGCCAGUUCUUGUUUUACCCUCAAUGCGGAGCUUGGUCUCGUUAUUGGGGGGAUUUACUACACACGGUUAGCGACUGAUUGCUGGAACCAUAAG